rnacentral:lncRNA from 1 species
GAAACAUCUUAUUCUUCUUUUUCUGGUUUUGAUUUUCCGAUGAAAUAGAGAGAUGGGAAAAAGAAGAGAGUGAAUCAGAUUCGAAUUCCAACAGAUCUGGACUUUGGGAGUGAGUACCAAAUUUCUCCUCACUGUCGCCUACCCCUACACAAGCUAUCGACGGAUCGCGACGGGAUAAGCCAGGGAUGCGCUCUCAAGC